rnacentral:rRNA from 1 species
UACGUAGGAUGCAAGCGUUGUCCGGAAUUACUGGGCGUAAAGGGCGAGCAGGUGGCAAGUCAAGUCUGAUGUAAAAUCUCCCGGCUUAACUGGGAGGGGCCAUUGGAAACUGGCUAGCUGGAGUGCAGGAGAGGCUAACGGAAUUCCCGGUGUAGUGGUGAAAUGCGUAGAUAUCGGGAGGAACACCGGUGGCGAAGGCGGCCCCCUGGUUGGAUACUGACGCUGAGACGCGAAAGCGUGGGGAGCAAACAGG